AUUGAACGCUGGCGGCAUGCCUUACACAUGCAAGUCGAACGGCAGCACGGGAGCAAUCCUGGUGGCGAGUGGCGAACGGGUGAGUAAUAUAUCGGAACGUGCCCAGUAGUGGGGGAUAGCCCGGCGAAAGCCGGAUUAAUACCGCAUGAGACCUGAGGGUGAAAGCGGGGGAUCGCAAGACCUCGCGCUAUUGGAGCGGCCGAUAUCAGAUUAGCUAGUUGGUGGGGUAAAGGCCUACCAAGGCAACGAUCUGUAGUUGGUCUGAGAGGACGACCAGCCACACUGGGACUGAGACACGGCCCAGACUCCGACGGGAGUCAGCAGUGGGGAAUUUUGGACAAUGGGCGCAAGCCUGAUCCAACAAUGCCGCGUGCAGGAAGAAGGCCUUCGGGUUGUAAACUGCUUUUGUCAGGGAAGAAAUCCCUUGGGAUAAUACCUCGGGGGGAUGACGGUACCUGAAGAAUAAGCACCGGCUAACUACGUGCCAGCCGCCGCGGUAACAC
rnacentral:rRNA from 1 species